GGCUGAUGAUUAUGAUGAUGAUGAUGAUGAUGAUGAUGAUGAUCGUCAGCAACAUCAUAACCAUCAACGUUGCCA
rnacentral:pre_miRNA from 1 species